UACGUAGGGGGCAAGCGUUGUCCGGAAUUAUUGGGCGUAAAGCGCACGCAGGCGGUCUAGUAAGUUCAGGGUGACAGUCAUCGGCUUAACCGGUGAAGUACCUUGAAAACUGGUAGACUUGAGUACGAGAGAGGGAUACGGAAUUCCAGGUGGAGUAGUGAAAUGCGUAGAUAUCUGGAAGAACACCAAAGGCGAAGGCAGUAUCCUGGCUCGGCACUGACGCUCAGGGGCGAAAGCGAGGGGAGCAAACAGG
rnacentral:rRNA from 1 species